AUAUUCUCUCCAAUAUAUUUUAUUCCAUUCCCUUUCAAAUUACCCCCAAAAAAAAAAAUCAAAAAACAUAAUGACAUUAAGGUGAAAUGUAGCCAGGGUUUAUCCUCAUCCGUGAAUUAGAAAAAUUAAGGAGUUAAGGAGCAAUUUAUUUUAUCACUUUGGAUGUUGCCUAGGGUUUAUUCUUCCGUGAAUUAGAGAAAUUGGGGCAUUGAAGCAAAUAUUCAUCCGUAAAUUGGUUUAGAGAAAGCAAAUAUUCAUCCGCAAAUUGGUUUACUUUUACAUGUUUGGAUACAAUUGGGGAAUUGGGGAAUUUUAUGCAAACACAAUUUCUCUCACACUCACACUUUCUCUCUCUCGAAUUUGGUAUCGGUGUAUAAACUUUUGAUUGAGACAAAGAAACUGAAUCUUUCGGCGAUUUGCGAUUCCAAAAUGCGGUAAUCAUCGGUUACUAAAGUUGCUCCAGAUUCAUUUUUCUCUAAGAUCUACUCUACUGGAACAAUGAGUCUUUCAAGUAGGACGAUAUAUGUUGGUAAUCUUCUGGGUGGUAUUCGUGAGCAAGAAGUGGAGGAUUUGUUCUACAAGUUUGAAGAGGCUCGUGAUACUGAUGAUGCUAUUCGAGGGCGUGAUGGCUAUGAUUUUAAUGGGCAUCGCUUGAGAGUUAGUAAACUACUAACAGCUUAUAGGACACACACAUAUGAAUCAACCAUAUGUGUGACUUGCAUUUUUCUGAAUCAAGUUUUGGUUACUGGAUUGCCCCAGUCAGCGUCCUGGCAGGAUCUCAAGGUGAGUGGUGUAUGAGAGGAUCAUAUGCGUCGAGCUGGGGAUGUUUGUUUCUCAUAAGUUUUUCGUGAGGGGAGUGAUCCUCAUUACCCUCUGUGAAUUCACUUACGCGGUGGUUUGGGGAGCCUGUUAAAGCUGCUAUAAUCAACUCCAAUUCUUUUCUCACUAAUGCCCAUGGCUACCCUUGUCUGUCCAAACGACAUCAAAAUCUAGUGACACUGUUUUUCAACCACUCAAUUCAGCAAUAUAGGUAUUCCAAUUGAAAAAUAACUCGAGCGCGGCAUUCUAAAGCAUGCCUUCAGCUAACCAGCAAUACAGAAAAUCAGAGUUGCUACAUUCUCUAAGAGAAACAGAUAAGACACAUCAGGUUUACAGCGGGAACCAUUAUUAGUGUUCUUGUGCAAAUAGACAAAAUUGUUGGAUGACCGAAGUUGUUACAGGCACUUUUCAGUAGCUUGGACAGUAGUGACAUAAAUCAUGUGGAAGGACCCAUGGAUGCUUUAUCAAAGGUGCCAUUUCUCUGUUAUUUAACACGAAUUUCACUUGAUAGUAUCCCAUAGUAUACUGAAACUUGAAUGCCAAUAUAGCAAAUUGUUGCAUAACUACAACGAGAAACAACUAUUGUAUUCAUCAAAUGAGACCCUUAAGAUUGAUAAAUUUUAUGUGUAGCGUAAGUUGUAAAGGUAAAUGAUCUUUGUGUCUCCUUACAUUGUCAGUGAAUGUGAAUGUAAAGUGGUAAAAUAGCCAAAGUGGACAUGUGGAAUAGGUGUUUUGUACAACUAAUACUUAACUGGCGCACUGACGAUCUUCAGCAAUGCAGAUAUGCGAGGAUGUCCCAUAACUUCUCAAUUCUGAUAUUUUUGGAUUAUCUGAAUAACCCUUUACUAUAUUCCUUCCAAUGUUUCUCCAGGUUGGCUAAUUCUUUCCUUAUUGUAAUUCAUUUAUUGGCUCAGUUUUUUAUUUGGUUGUUUAUUUUGUCAUAUAGUUUACUAUUAAUCAAUUCUGGCUUUAUAGUUUCAUUCUAACUCGAUCUUUCAAUGGACAAAUUUUCCAGUCACCUCACAUUUCUCUUAGAAAGCUGUCAUUGAGUUCUGUUAAUCAAUAUAUAUAUGAUGAUGCCUAAAAUUUUGCAUCUCUCCAUGGAUAAAUACUUUCAAGGUUUGUUUUUUCUUGCCAAUGACCCUACUCCAGAAGUGCGAAAGUUGGAAAAAUGCAGUGAUCAAAUUUGAAUGGUGGCCGCCACAAGUCAACUCGAUACAGAUUGAAGUGAAUGAUGAAGAAUUUUUGAACUAUUCUAAUAUACGUUUAAAUACAUUUGAUUCUGUGUUGAACUUAUAAGUACAGAUCUUUAAAAUGUUGUUUAGUAAUUAGUAUGUGUAGUCAUAGACAUUUUUUUGAAGUUCAUUGCAAAUCUAUGCAUUUGAAUUUGUUAUUAGCUAACUGAUGCAUGAGAUUAUAUAUAUGUAUGUACAUGUAAUGUGAUUAGUGAUGAAUUGCCACACGUGUUGU